CCCUUAGAUGUUCUGGGCCGCACGCGCGCUACACUGAUACAUGCAACGAGUUUAUAACCUUGAUCUGACGGUCUGGGUAAUCUUCAAACUGUAUCGUGUUAGGGAUCGAUUCUUGCAAUUUUUAAUCGUAAACGAGGAAUUCCUAGUAAACGCAAGUCAUCAGCUUGCAUUGAUUACGUCCCUGCCCUUUGUACACACCGCCCGUCGACUCUACCGAUUGAAUGGUUCGGUGAAAACUUUGGACUGUGGCAUUGUCCCUCAUUGGACUUCGCCGUAGGAAAUUGUUUAAACCUCAUCAUUUAGAGGAAGAAUAAGUCGUAACA
rnacentral:rRNA from 1 species